rnacentral:rRNA from 1 species
UCGGGAAUUUUGGGCAAUGGGCGAAAGCCUGACCCAGCAACGCCGCGUGAGGGAUGAAGUAUUUCGGUAUGUAAACCUCGAAAGAGUGGGAAGAAUAAAUGACGGUACCAUUUAUAAGCUCCGGCUAACUACGUGCCAGCAGCCGCGGUAAUACGUAGGGAGCAAGCGUUGUUCGGAUUUACUGGGCGUAAAGCGCACGUAGGCGGUUUCUUAAGUCGGGGGUGAAAUCCUGGAGCUCAACUCCAGAACUGCCUUCGAUACUGGGAAACUUGAGUUCGGGAGAGGUGAGUGGAACUGCGAGUGUAGAGGUGAAAUUCGUAGAUAUUCGCAAGAACACCAGUGGCGGAGGCGGCUCACUGGCCCGAUACUGACGCUGAGGUGCGAAAGCGUGGGG